CCUACGGGAGGCAGCAAUUAGGAAUCUUGCGCAAUGGGCGAUAGCCUGACGCAGCGACGCCGCGUGACUGAUGAAGUCUUUCGGGAUGUAAAGGUCUUUUGCAGGGGACGAAGGAAGUGACGGUACCCUGCGAAUAAGCUCCGGCUAACUACGUGCCAGCAGCCGCGGUAAUACGUAGGGAGCGGGCGUUGUCCGAAUUUACUGGGCGUAAAGCGCGCGUAGGCGGGUUUUUAAGUUGGGGGUGAAAUGCCGAGGCUUAACCUCGGAACUGCCUCCAAAACUGGAAGCCUUGAGGUAUGGAGAGGGAAGUGGAAGUCCAGGUGUAGCGGUGAAAUGCGUAGAUAUCUGGAGGAACACCCGUGGCGAAGGCGACUUCCUGGUCAUAUCCUGACGCUGAGGUGCGAAAGCUAGGGGAGCGAACG
rnacentral:rRNA from 1 species